GGCCUUGCGCUCUUUGAGCGGCCGAUGUCAGAUUAGCUAGUUGGUGAGGUAAAGGCUUACCAAGGCGACGAUCUGUAGCGGGUCUGAGAGGAUGAUCCGCCACACUGGAACUGAGACACGGUCCAGACUCCUACGGGAGGCAGCAGUGGGGAAUUUUGGACAAUGGGGGCAACCCUGAUCCAGCCAUGCCGCGUGAGUGAAGAAGGCCUUCGGGUUGUAAAGCUCUUUCGGCCGGGAAGAAAUCGCAUGGGCCAAUACCCUGUGUGGAUGACGGUACCGGAAUAAGAAGCACCGGCUAACUACGUGCCAGCAGCCGCGGUAAUACGUAGGGUGCGAGCGUUAAUCGGAAUUACUGGGCGUAAAGCGUGCGCAGGCGGUUUUGUAAGACAGGCGUGAAAUCCCCGGGCUUAACCUGGGAACUGCGUUUGUGACUGCAAGGCUAGAGUACGGCAGAGGGGGGUGGAAUUCCACGUGUAGCAGUGAAAUGCGUAGAGAUGUGGAGGAACACCAAUGGCGAAGGCAGCCCCCUGGGUCGAUACUGACGCUCAUGCACGAAAGCGUGGGUAGCAAACAGGAUUAGAUACCCUGGUAGUCCACGCCCUAAACUAUGUCAACUAGGUGUUGGGUGGGUAAAACCAUUUAGUACCGUAGCUAACGCGUGAAGUUGACCGCCUGGGGAGUACGGCCGCAAGGUUAAAACUCAAAGGAAUUGACGGGGACCCGCACAAGCGGUGGAUGAUGUGGAUUAAUUCGAUGCAACGCGAAAAACCUUACCUACCCUUGACAUGCCAGGAACUUGCCAGAGAUGGCUUGGUGCCCGAAAGGGAGCCUGGACACAGGUGCUGCAUGGCUGUCGUCAGCUCGUGUCGUGAGAUGUUGGGUUAAGUCCCGCAACGAGCGCAACCCUUGUCGUUAAUUGCCAUCAUUUAGUUGGGCACUUUAACGAGACUGCCGGUGACAAACCGGAGGAAGGUGGGGAUGACGUCAAGUCCUCAUGGCCCUUAUGGGUAGGGCUUCACACGUCAUACAAUGGUCGGUACAAAGGGUUGCCAAGCCGCGAGGCGGAGCCAAUCCCAGAAAGCCGAUCGUAGUCCGGAUUGCAGGCUGCAACUCGCCUGCAUGAAGUCGGAAUCGCUAGUAAUCGUGGAUCAGCAUGUCACGGUGAAUAUGUUCCCGGGUCUUGUACACACCGCCCGUCACACCAUGGGAGCGGGUUCCGCCAGAAGUAGGUAGCCUAACCGCAAGGGGGGCGCUUACCA
rnacentral:rRNA from 1 species